AAAAAGAGAGAAAGCAAGGAAAUGUGACGUCUCCAAAGAAUCACAAUAAUUCUCUAGCAACAGAUUCUAAAGAAAAACAAAUUAUGAAAUCCCUGGAAAAGAAUGAAACAUAAUGAUAUUAAAGAAGUUCAGUGGCAUACAAGAAAACUCAGAAAAACAAUACAAAGAAAGCAGAAAAAAAAGUCAGGAUGUGCAUGAGAACUUUACCAGUGAUCGGUAUCAUAAAAAUGAAACCAACAGAAAUUUUGGAGCUUAAGUAACCAUUGAAUAAAAUACAAGAUACAUUCAAAAGCUUCAAAAAUGGACUAGAUGAAGAAGAAAUAAUUUUAGAACCUGAAGGCAGGUCUUUUGAAAUAAUCUAGUCAGACUGAAACAAAACAAAACAAAACAAAAAAAGAAAUAACAAAGUCUAUGUGACAUAUGGGACACUAUAAAGCAACCAAAUAUCCAAAUAUUUGGUGUCCCAGAAGGUGAAGAGAAUAUGAAAACAAUAGAAAGCCUAUUAAAUGAAAUAAUAGUUGAAAAUCUCCCAAGUUUAGCAAGAGGCAGAAGAUUGCUUGAGCCCAGGAGGUCAAGGAUGCAGUGAGCUAUGAUCAUACAAUUGUAUUCCAUAGCCUAGGUGAGAGAGGGAGAUUCUGUCUCAAAAAAUAAAAAGAAAAAAACAAAAGAAUCAAGCUAUGUCCAUUAAUGGAUGAAUGGGUAAAGAAAAUGUGAGGCCGGGCACAGUGGCUCACACCUGUAAUCACAGCACUUUGGGAGGCUGCGGCAGGUGGAUCACUUGACCUCAGGAGUUGGAAACCAGCCUGUGCAACGUGAUGAAACCACACUUCUACCAAAAGAUACCAAAAUUAAGUUUUGCUCUUGCUGCUUAGACUGGAGUGCAAUGGCAUGAUCUCAGCUCACCGCAACCUCUGCCUCCUGGAUUCAAAUGAUUCUCCCGCCUCAGCCUCCCGAGUAGCUGGAAUUGCAGGCAUGUACCACCAUGCCUGGCUAAUUUUGUAUUUUUAGUAGAGACAGGGUUUCUCCAUGUUGGUCAAGCUGGUCUUCAACUCCCGACCUUAGGUGAUCCACCUGCCUCAGCCUCCCAAAGUGCUGGGAUUACAGGCGUGAGCCACUGCACCCGGCAAUACUAAUGGUUUAUCCAAGUAUCUGCUUAUCUGAAAUUCAAAUAUCACUGAGCUUAGCAUUUUCAACAAUGUAGAUGAUCAUAGAAGACAUUAUGCUAAUUGAAAGAAGCCAGUCACAGAAGGACAAAUACUGCAUGAUUCUACUUACCUGACUUAUCUUAAAUAGUCGAAAUCGUUGAAGCAGAGAAUAGACUGGUGGUUGCCAGGGGCUGAAGGGAAGGAGGAAAUGUGGAAUUGUUGCACAACUGGUAUAAAGUUUCAGUUAUACAAUGUGACUAAGUUUUCAAGCUCUGCUAUACAACAUUGUACUUAUAGUUAACAAUAUGGUAUUAUGUACCUUAAAAUAUAAAGAGAAUAGAUCUAUUGUUGAGUAUUCUUACCACAAACAAACCAAAAACUUACAGAAGAACACAAGAACAUUUUUGUAGGUGAUAAAUAGGUUGAGUAGCUUGAUUGUGGUGAUAUAGUGAGUAUAUGGUAUAUGCAUAUGUCCAAACUCUUCAAAAUGCAUAUAUUAAAUAUGUACAAUUUUCAUAUAUUAACUAUAUACUAAAAGCUUAUAUAUAUAAAUAUAGCUUAAGAAAAAUAUUGCAUUUCUAAGUUUUGUUAGAAAAAUUUCAAUUACUCAUAGAGGUACUAGUUUCACUCUUAAUUAUGUGCAGUGUAUUUUAUUAUCCAUAGGAUACUAUUGGAGGCUCACCAACUCUAAAUUGUUCAUGCAUAGUUCCUAUCACUACCAUUUUCAAAUACCAAGUAGAAAAGACCUACAUGAGUGAUGUAUUAAACAAAGAAAUAAACAAUCCACAAACAUUUCUUGAGUAUCUAUUAUAGAAACAGCAUCCAAGGAAAUAAUUGGAUAAAGAAUAGGAAAGGUUUUUGUUUGUCGGUUUGUUUUUAUCUUCCGGAUACAUAAUAAAUUACUUGUCAGUUUUCUGUCAAGAAAUCUAUUAAGCCAAAAGGUUGUAAGAAUGCACUGAGUUGGUUGUGAGGGUGGUAGCAAAUAAUCUUACAAGAAAAAUUUUAAGACAAAAUAGAAAGAAUGAAUGGCAAAUUUACAAAUUUAGAGAUUGCUUAAGAUUUGUUCCAAUAAUGAAUAAAUAAAAGUAAAUUAAAAUGAAAGUUUAAAAACAAAACAAAUUUAACUGGUUACACUGUUUUAUUUUUUUCUCCUAAUUCUGGCAACCCUAUGCCCAUUAAUAGGAAAAUUUGAUAUUUUUGUGCAUUGUAUCACUACAAACGAAUAAAAAGAAUAAACUAUUGAUAUAUUCAAUAACACAAAUAAAUCUCAAAAUAAUUAUUGAGUGAAAAAAGCCAGAGAAAAAUCAAUGGUAGUAUAAUUCUAUUUACAUAAAAUUCUAUGAAAUGAAAAGUAAUGGACAGUGACAGAAAGCAGAUUAGUGGUUGCCAAGGAAUGGGAGAAGGGGCAUAGUGCAGGUGCAGAUAGUUAUUACAAGGAGAAAAAAAAUUGGGGGGUUAUUGGUAUGUUCAUUAUCUCAAUUGUGGUGCUGAUUUUCACAGGUGUAUACCUAUGUUUAAACUCAUCAAAUUAUACAUUUUAAAUGAAUGCACAUUAUUUUAUGGCAAUAGUCUCUUAAAGUUAGUUUUAAGUAAAUAAAAAUUCAAAAAGAAGAAAAUAAAAAUAAAAUUUAAAAUUCAAUAACAUUCUUACUUGUUAAAGGUAGGUAAAGAAAGUUAAAAACUAAAUGUAUAUAAAUAAAGAGGUGUGGUUUUUAUAUAAAAAUACACAUAUUCUCAUAUAAAAUAAAUAAUUUAAAUGAACACAUUACUUGUUCAUGAAAGGGAAAAGGCAUUUUGUAGUUUAAUGUAAAUUUCAGCAGCCCGGCAUAGUGGCUCACGCCUGUAAUCCUAGCACUUUGGGAGGCCAAGGCAGGAGGAUACCUUGAGCGCAGGAGUUCGAGAUUGGCCUGAGUAACAUAGGGAGAUCCUAUCUCUGUUAAAAAGUAUAUAAAUAAAUAAAUAAAUUUUAGCAGAAUAAUUAUGAUUUUUUAAAAGUUUAAAUUAUUCUCAAAUCUGUUUAUAAUACCAAGUGUCUAGAAUUCUAAAAUAUUUGUUCAAAGAAGAAAAAUAUGAAGUAUACAGUUAGAGAAAACAAGAUGUUAAAUAUUUUGCAAGAAACUAAGUAAUAAUUUUAUGUUUUCAUUUAACACAAAUACAUUAGACAUAUAUUAUUUGACAGUUAUUCUUGGAGUCACUGCUACAAAAAUAAAAAAUAUGUCAAAGUUACUUUCUUGGGCUCAUAUUCUAUAGGUGGUAAUAGUAAAAAGUAAAUUCAAGAAAACAAUAUAAUUCCUGACAAUGUACAUUACUAUGGCAACAAAAAGGCCAGAAGUAACAGAAGAAAACGGAAGUGAAGUGUAUUAUUCUUCAUAGGAUGUCUGGGUAAGGUCUUUUCGAAGAGGCAAUGCGUGAUUUCAAAUUUGAAUGGAGGAAAGGAGAAAACCACUCACUCUCUGAAGAACAUAAUUUCAGUCCUGGGUAAAAAGUUUGGCAAACUUGAAGACAACCAUGAAGACUACUGAGUUUGAAGCCCAAUCAGUGAGAAAAAGAAAAAAAAAAAUCGUGAGAAAGGAGCUCAGAGAGGUAGUCAGAAACUAGAUUACAAGAUAUCCUACAGGCAAUGAUUGGACUUUGAAUUUUAUUUAUUCUAAGAGUAAUAGGGAAG
rnacentral:lncRNA from 10 species